GCGUUUUUCAGUGUCACGAAUAGACAUAAAAAGCCAAAUAAUUUGGCUACGGACCAGAAGGUCGGGGGUUCGAAUCCCUCAGGGCGCGCCA
rnacentral:tRNA from 1 species